UGCAAGUCGAGCGGUAACAGGAAUUAGCUUGCUAAUUUGCUGACGAGCGGCGGACGGGUGAGUAACGCGUAGGAAUCUGCCUGGUAGUGGGGGACAACAUGUGGAAACGCAUGCUAAUACCGCAUACGCCCUACGGGGGAAAGGAGGGGAUCUUCGGACCUUUCGCUAUCAGAUGAGCCUGCGUGAGAUUAGCUAGUUGGUGGGGCAAAGGCCCACCAAGGCGACGAUCUCUAGCUGGUCUGAGAGGAUGAUCAGCCACACUGGGACUGAGACGCGGCCCAGACUCCUACGGGAGGCAGCAGUGGGGAAUAUUGGACAAUGGGCGCAAGCCUGAUCCAGCCAUGCCGCGUGUGUGAAGAAGGCCUUCGGGUUGUAAAGCACUUUCAGAAGUGAGGAAGGGUGUAUAGUUAAUACCUGUAUAUCUUGACGUUAGCUUCAGAAGAAGCACCGGCUAACUCUGUGCCAGCAGCCGCGGUAAUACAGAGGGUGCGAGCGUUAAUCGGAAUUACUGGGCGUAAAGCGCGCGUAGGCGGUUUG
rnacentral:rRNA from 1 species